UGGAGGCCAAGGCUCACCAUCCAGUACAGGUCCCCCGCACGCCGGUUGAUAUAAAGAUUAGACGGAUCGGCCAAGGCAUAGUCGUACGUACAUACAUCCUUUAUGCUUUUGUUCUUUUAAGAUAUACUUAUGAGAAGCUGUCAAAAAAAAGAAAAAAAAAGAUAUACUUAUGAGAUUAAAAUAUUGCAUGCUUUGUUGUUUAUUUAUGGAAACCCCCAAUGUAAAUUAAAGGGCAGUCCAAAUCAGGG
rnacentral:lncRNA from 1 species